CAGGCUCCAGGCUCUGAGCCGUCAGCCCAGAGCCUGACGCGGGGCUCAAACUCACGGACCGCGAGAUCGUGACCUGAGCUGAAGUCGGACGCUCAACCGACUGAGCCACCCAGGCACCCCAAGGGAUUCUUAACCUACUUCUGGCCCAUGGACCCUUUCAGCAGACUAUCAAGUGUCACUUCCUCAAUGGAACAAAGUCUUCCCCAUGUGUGCCCCACCCCUCACCCCUGCUCACCCACACUGGAUUGUCACAGGAUCAGAAAAUAGUAUUUUUUUAAGCCACUGAGAUUUUGGGGUUGUUCAUAUAGCAGUGAGUAAUCUUGGAGAGACUGUCCAUGUUUCCUUCUUCCCAUUAGCAAUCAUUUCCAAAACACAUCUGGUAAUUUCUGCUAGAAAGGGUUGUGGUUGUCCUAGAUAGAGCUAUUGCCCUCAUUUAAAUUAGAGUUAGGAGAUGAAGCCCUUUGUUAACCCAGCCACAGUAUGGACCAAGGCACCCGAGCCUGAGUAAGCAAGGGUGCUGAGGACAAGGACUAAAAGCCUACAAAGGCAAAAACAGCACGGCCUGGUAGGAAGCGUUCUGGUGUAGAACUUAGUCUUGAGUCAAGUUCCAGGUUCGUCUUAGCUGGGGGCAUAAACCUUGUACAAGAUCAUUAACUUCUCUGCACUUUGGUUGCCCUGUUUGUAAGGUGAGUAUUAUUUUCAGAACUCAGCAACUAAAGUGAGGUCCCUGAUGAGAUCAGGAAAUGAAGGAAGUAAGAUUGCCCUUUCUUGCAGGUUUUGUUAAAAGUUCAACACACCGAGGCAAAGAUACAGUCCCCAGUAACAAUGGCUCCCAGGCUAGCGAGAAUGCAUAGAGCCCCGCUCCUCUCUGUGCUGAUUGUCUGAUAUUAGGCCAGUUACAGAUUCCUUGGGUGCUUCAGCUCUGUCAUCUGUAAGGUGUAUGGAUUAACAUCUCAUUAUGCGCCCCUGGGAAUUUAGUAACUGAUACAUAUGCUGUAACCCAUCUGACUAAAUGGAAGGCAGUCGUGUCAGUGAGAGGCCUGUUAGAGGAACACUAUGCAUUCCAAGCACUGUUUAGGACAGAGGCACUGUUAGCUUUGCGAUUCACGCAUUUGAGAGCGAGCGUGUGCACAGGCAUGAGCUGGAGAGGGGCAGAGAGACAGGGAGGGAGAGAGAAUCCCAAGCAGGCUGACAGUGUAGAUCCUGACGCAGGGCUCGAUCUCACGAACCAUGAGAUCGUGACCUGAGCCAAAAUGAAGAGUCAGACGUUUGAGGCGCCCCAAGGGCCAAGCAUUUUUGCUUUAGUUUGGAGAUGGAUGCAGGGAUUAUAACAUACAAUCUUCAGGUAUUCAGAGCCCGCUGACAUGUAAUCUGUAAGAUCCCGUCUGAUACCUUAACCAGUUUCUGUAGUGUUCUUGUGAUUCUAAGCUAGCAAAGCCAUAUAAUUAUGUCCUGGGUAAGUAUUCCUAUACUAGUGAGAUGCUAUUGGCAUGAAGUAGACACAGAAAAAGUUGGAAUGUUGCUUCAAUGGGAUGGAAUAUACCAAACCAUGCAUUCUUUUUUUUUUUUUUAAUAUUUUUUUUGAGAGACACAAAGCAUAAGUGGGGGAGGGGCAGAGAGACCGACAGAACCCAAAGCAGGCUCCAGGCUCUGAACUGUCAGCACUGAGCCUGACCCAAGGCUCAAACCCAUGAAGCAUGAGACCGUGGCCUGAGCCAAAGUCGGAUGCUUGACAAACUGAGCCCCCCGGGUGCCCCCCAAACCACGCAUUCUUACAUCCUAGUCCUGGAGUAGAAACUUCUUGUGAUUAAUGUUAAGUAGCAUUCUGGUGUCUCUCAGGUCCACAUUGAUUUUAGUCACUGUGAGUCAGUUUCUUAAGGCCUGGGCAUGACAUGAUGGGUCUCUACACCCUCUAACAGGCAGCAUCCCAUACUAGUGAUCGAAUUGGGGUUCUGCCAGUGUCAACCAGACUUCCAUAUGUGACACCCUUACUGCCAGAUUAUCUUCUUACGGCUGCCUGCCUACCUUACCGGACUCGGGCAAGGACAGAACGAUGUACUAAAUGCUUUGUAAACCGUGGAAGUGUCGUACAAGUGCUAGUGUUACCGCUGUGGGACCAGGUCUGGGAGUGAGAGUAAAACAGGAGCAUGGGUGCAGCUGAAAGCCAGAUGGUGAGUGUCUGUCACCAAAGGGCAACACUGCUGAGCACCCAACUUACAAGGUAUUUCUUACGUGACAGAUGUGACUUCAUGGGAGCUUUACAGUUUGACUUCUCUUUAGCAGCGUUGAUCUUAACAGGGGGCAUUGCGCAUGCCAUGGCUGGACGGAAUCCUGAACCCUUUAAAAAUCCCACCAACGACUGAAGAUCCCACCAAGAGCUCCUGUUGCCAUGCAGUCGUUAUGACCAGCAAUAGUGGCCUGCACCAAGGCUCAAAGGCGAAGCCAGAUUCUUCCCUACUAAUAGGACAAUCAUGGAGUCACCGGUGUUGCAUAUGACCUCUGCGGUUGUCUGGAAUCUUGAUGUUGACCAUGAUGCCUUGAGAGAAUUGGGUUUGCAAAGUGGGGUAUUGCACUGCUAUUUGCCAUCUAGCAUCUAGCGCUGAGAAAAGGCAGGAGGAAUGUAAAAAGCAUAGCUGCAGGCACAAAGAAUGAUAAUGAGAACUUGGAAUUCCUAAGCAUGUAACCUAGAAGAAAAUGUUUGCAGAAAUAAACAUGAAAUUAGGA